CUCGCACGCGCGCGCGCACGUACGCAUGUAACCGCCAAUUGCAAUAUUUGAAAAAAGAACCCGAUCAACCACUGUCUUGCUGUUCAGAAGUCCGUCUAUAAUUCAUCAUAAACUAAAGGAACACAGGUCAGAUUCGGACAACGACUUCAAAUUCAUUCGCAGAAUACGCUAAACAAUUGGACGACGGAUACACUGGAUGAUAAUGUAGAUGGUCCAGGAUUAUCUGGGAAGGAAACUACAGGUGUUGAACACAGAAAACCGUUUACAAGAAAACAACUGGAGUUUGUGAAAGCUGCAAGAAAUUAAUCUUGCCGGGUACGCAUUCACUUCACCUUGGUCGAGUGCAGCACAGUGGAUAAAUGUGUUGCUGAAGGAAAACCCCAUUGCUAGGAUUCAAACCCACGACACUCUGUUGAAAGGUGAGAGUCAGAACCACUAGACCACGACGCACCCACAGUUAACAAGCUGAUGUCAUACCCCCACUUGUUUUGUAUUUUAUAACAAGAAGUCAUGUUUAUUCACAUUUUGACCUCCAAGAACUAAAAAGUGGAGUGAAGAUUUAUUUAAUGUAAACACAUGCAUUGCUUGAAAUCAUUUUAUGCUACGUGGGACAUAUCAUACACACGUGUACGAAAAUAUGAAAUUAUUAUGAUUUCAUUUUAUAACAUAAGCCUAAAACAUAUUCCUGACGAUCAUGUGCACAUUCCAGUAAUUUUUCCCAAAAUGUUGCUAAACCUUCAAAUCAAAGACUUUGUUAUCAGAUUUUAACGAAAUUGUCAACAUUAUGCUUUUCUGAUUAAUUCUCUUCCUACCUAAAUCUCCCCUUUCCUCAUGCUUUCUUUCUAUGGUCCCCUUCAUUCUCCUUAUAACUAUGUUAUAUGU